rnacentral:misc_RNA from 1 species
AACGCACGAGACCUGCGGACCUGCGGAAGGAUCAUUAAUGAGAAGCUGCCCCUCGUGGGUAGACCUCCCACCCUCUGUGAACUUACCUUUGUUGCUUUGGCAGGCCCGUCCUCUGGACCGCCGGCUUCGGCCGGCCCGUGCCUGCCAGAGGAUUCCAAACCCUGUCUGUCAGUGUUGUCUGAGUCUAUAUGAAAUCGUUAAAACUUUCAACAAUGGAUCUCUAGAUCGGAAGAGCACACG